UACAGAGGGUGCGAGCGUUAAUCGGAAUUACUGGGCGUAAAGCGCGCGUAGGCGGCUUUGCAAGUCGGGUGUGAAAUCCCCAGGCUUAACCUGGGAACUGCAUUCGAGACUGCAUUGCUAGAGUAUGGGAGAGGGAAGUGGAAUUUCAGGUGUAGCGGUGAAAUGCGUAGAUAUCUACUGGAGCGCCGAUGGUGAAGACGCUCGGCUGGGCCUUUCCUGACGCUGAGGCACGAAAGCGUGGGGAGCAAACAGG
rnacentral:rRNA from 1 species